rnacentral:rRNA from 1 species
GACUCUCGGCAACGGAUAUCUCGGCUCUCGCAUCGAUGAAGAACGUAGCAAAAUGCGAUACUUGGUGUGAAUUGCAGAAUCCCGUGAACCAUCGAGUCUUUAAACGCAAGUUGCGCCCCAAGCCUUCUGGCUGAGGGCACGUCUGCCUGGGUGUCA